UUUCGGGGACCGAAGCAUUUGUUUCGAGCCUUGUGAGGCCUUGUUGACGAGCAUUCAUGCUUGCCUCUACGGGGCAUCAUGGUUGUCUGGUUGACACACUAACAACCCCCGGCACAAMAUGUGCCAAGGAAAACAAAACUUAAAGGGCUUGUGCUGUUAUGCCCCGUYAUUGGUGUGCAUACUGUGCGUUGCUUCUUUUGUAAACUUUAAACGACUCUCGGCAACGGAUAUCUCGGCUCACGCAUCGAUGAAGAACGUAGCAAAAUGCGAUACUUGGUGUGAAUUGCAGAAUCCCGUGAACCAUCGAGUUUUUGAACGCAAGUUGCGCCCGAAGCCAUCCGGUUGAGGGCACGUCUGCCUGGGCGUCACGCAUCACGUUGCCCCCCAAACAUCUWUUUAGAUGKUCUGGUUGGGGCGGAGAUUGGUCUCCCGUGCCACUUGCAUGGUUGACCUAAAUAUGAGUCUCCUCACGAGAGACGCACGGCUAGUGGUGGUUGAUAACACAGUCGUCUCGUGCCGUACGUUUAUGUUUGUGAGUGUCUAGACUUGUGAAAAACCUGACGCGUCGUCUUCAGAUGAUGCUUCGAUC
rnacentral:misc_RNA from 1 species